GGCUUGGCCAGGCAUUCCUUUGUCCAGCCGUGUAAUGGUCUCAAGACUGCGGAGCAUGUUCACGCACAGCAUGGACACCACUUCAUGUAGGGGCACUGGACUGCCUAGAGUUGGAGGAAGGGACCCUGUUCUCACAUCGCUUUCCUGUUUCCCUCUCCUGCAAUAUGGAUUUGACAUAUUAAUCAUUACAGCAACUGCUAAAAUUCCACUGUGCUUCAUUAAUCCGGAGGAAAAUACCAUGUCAGCUGAGCUCAGAGACAGCGUCUAAGAGGGCGGCUGACAAUCUGCCUCAAACACAAACACAUGACAAAUAUAGUUCUGCAGUGAAGACUUUAGCCCCACGGGGAAAGCUGAGACUCAGGAGCCUGAUGGCAUAAACAAGGCGAAAGGCUUGGUAGCAAAUCAGAAGACUUGUUUUUGGAAGCUGAAAACUUACUUCGGCAACAACAGUCCUCCAUGGCUCCCUGUUUGUGCUCUUGCUGGCCAGGCCUGGGAAGCCCUCUUGGGGCCUCUGAGGCUUGUAACCAGCCCUGCUUAGAUAAUCCUUACAGCAGCAGCUCUGCACAGUAUCAUUCUCCCCUGUACAAAUGAAGAGACGGAAGCUCGAAUUCUCACACGACACCCUUGCAGCACUUGAACCACUCCAGGAUUCUCUUCUGCUGGUCACCCAACUAUUCUCCCAGGGUCAUUACGAGGAUGAAAGGAGCUACUAUUUGUGAAGUGUGUAAAUCAGAGCCUGGAACUUACUGUGUCUCUGUUUGAUUGAGCCUGGGCAUGAGAUAAAACACGAGGUCAUCUGCAAUGGCACUGGUGCUGUGGCUGUAUCAGCAUGGCUCUGAUGUCCCUUCGGGGCAGGCAACAGUUCAGGGAGGACUUACAAGCAAGCUCUGAUGGAGUCUCGCUCUGUCGCCCAGGCUGGAGUGCAGUGGUGUGAUCUCGGCUCACUGAACUUCCCCUCCCCAGUUCAAGCGAUUCUCCUGCCUCAGCCUCCCUAGUAGCUGGGAUUACAGGCCCCCACCACCAUGCCUGGCUAAUUUUUAAAUAUUUUUAGUGGAGAUGGGGUUUCACCAUGUUGGCCAGGAUGGUCUUGAGCUCCUGACCUCAAGGGAUCCACCCGCCUCGGCCUCCCAAAGCACUGGGAUUACAGGUAUAAGCCACCGCGUCCGGCCUACUCCCACUUUGUUUCCAAGGAUAGUCAAGUGAAGGAGUGGGAGUGGAGAAGGAACAAAUAAAUCUGUAACUGCUUGUGAUCAAUUAGUUGUUAAUGUCAAUACCACUGCACUGAGAAGGCUGAGGUUCACAAAGGUGAAGUGAUUUAUCUAAGGUUUUAUGUCUGGUUUGUAGAGAGCCAGGACCCAAAUCCAGACCUUCCCCUACAGACCCUGACCCUUCCUCUGCCUUGUGCCGAUGCCUUGAGGGGACCCUUCCCAAGGUCCCCUGGGCCACACCCUGCUCCCCUGACCCACAGGGCUGCUGAGGUCACCUCUUUCAAAGGGUCUGCUUUGGUUCCACUUUGCCAUUAGAAUAAAGCUUUG
rnacentral:lncRNA from 1 species